AUGUUAAUGCUCAUAAUGGCUACAUCUCUUUUCUUACAUUGUAAUUGAAUGCAUAUUUUAUUCCUUCUGCAGGUUAUGGGGAAAGGCAUGUUGGUUAUCAUUUCCGAUUCUGGAAAGCUCUCUUUUCUAACAUUUUGUAAUGAAAUGCACAGGUUCUUUCCAGUGACUCAUGUUCAACUUUUAAUUCCUGGCAACUCAAGACACCAGAUUGGUAGAAUGCUUGCUAUUGAUGCCUUGUAUGACCUACAACACUCUGGAGUUUAUGACAUCACUGGAAAACAUGAAGAUUUAGCAACUUGCAUUGAGUAUUCUCCAGAAACAGGCGCACAAGUUUUAUGGUGUUCAGGAUCCUUUGGCACAAGAGUGUUUUGAGGCUAUUAAGUCUGCAAAAAGUCCUAAAGAAGCAGCCAGGAUAGGAAGGAAAAUGCAGAGACGAAGACCAGACCUGGUAUGUUUCAUUUUCUAGAGUUUAAUGAAAUCUUCAAAACUACUAGUCUCGCUCUAUAAUUGUGAUGUUACUAUGAUUUUCUCCUGUGUCUAAAUUGUAAAAGGAAAUAUCUAAUCUCAUCCUGUCCAUUUUGGAAUGUCUGAAUUGAAGAUCAUAUUCUGAAUCCUUCUUAGGGGACCACUGCCAGUAGAAGCUGCAUUUUCAGGAUUCAGACUUCGACAGUAUCUUGAGCUGUCAGCAGUCUAGCAUAAUUUCCCAAUUUCCUUACAAUUUGCUGUAUUCAGUUUGUAUGUAUGCCUGGAUAGUGAAAUUCAUACUCCGUAUAUGCAAGCUAGCCAUUAUAACCUCAUAAGUAAAUACAGUUGUGGAGUUCAUUGUGGAGUUCUUCAGUUGUGCUCCAUCAAUCAAGGUUGCAGAAUCACUUGGUCAUACAGUCCUUGGAUGGCGUCCUGUCCCAAUUGAUAAUUCGGGACUUGAUCUUUGUUUGUUGUAGGAUAUGUGGUUUUAUCUUUCAGAGCAUGAAAAAUUCAGAGAUUUUGGGAAUGAACAAGCUCUCAUCUGGCAUGAGACUAACAUCCAUUAUGUAGUCUGGAAACCUGAGAGUACCAGGACCUUGUCCUUAAAUUAUCAGCCUUCUAAGGGAUUUCUCUGAGCUGCUGGCUGCUGUGUUACUUUAGGCUAGACUGCUAGUUUCUGGUCCUCCUGCUAUCUGGUUUCUGUUGCUAGUUCUGUCUGUGCAUUGCUGCUGCUGGUUCCUUCUCUGCUUUGCCAGCUGCUG